AUUGAACGCUGGCGGCAGGUCUAACACAUGCAAGUCGAGCGGAGCGGCGGACGGGAGAGUAAUGCAUAUGAAUCUGCCUGGUCGUGGGGGAUAACGUCCGGAAACGGGCGCUAAUACCGCAUACUUUCAGUAGGGCCUAAGUCGGAUUAGCUAGGUGGUGGGGUAAAGGCCUACCAGGGCGAGUAUCCGUAACUGGUCUGAGAGGAGGAUCAGUGACACUGGAACUGAGACACGGUCCAGACUCCUACGGGAGGCAGCAGGGGGGAAUAUUGGACAAUGGGCGAAAGCCUGAUCCAGCCAUGCCGCGUGUGUGAAGAAGGUCUUGGGAUUGUAAAGCACUUUAAGUUGGGAGGCGGUACCAACAGAAUAAGCACCGGCUAACUUCGUGCCAGCAGCCGCGGUAAUUC
rnacentral:rRNA from 1 species